AAGAAGAAGAAGAAGAAGAAGAAGAUAACUGCGGCAAGGCUGCAGCGAGUGAUGUGUGGCCUUGGGGAGGAAAAGGGAAGAGGGGAAGAGGAGAAGAAGAAGAAGAGGAAGAGAAAGAGGUGUGAUACCUCUGUUUCCUGCAGAGGAAACAGAGGAGAGGGUGUGUGUGACGCCGGGGAAGAAGGGGCUGCAGCUACGGCGAUGGCAGCUGCAGCUGGAAGAGAAGAAGAAGAGGAAGAUGAGCAGGGGAGGAGGGAGAGGUUGCGGCCGUGGCUGCGGCCGCGACUGCAGCAGUUGCAGCGGGGAGAGAAGAAGAAGAAAGGAAGGAGAAGGAAGAGGAGAAGGGAAAGAAGUAGCUGCGGCUGCGGUUGUGGCAGCUGCAGCUAUGGCAGGGAAAGAGGAAGAGAAAAAGGGAAGGAAGAAGAAGAGAAAGGGAAGGAGGGGAGGAAGAGAGGAAGAGGAGAAGGGGCUGCGGCUGCGGCGAUGGCAGCUGCAGCUGUGGCAGGGAAAGAGAAAAAGGAAAGGAAGAAGAAGAGAAAGGGAAGGAGAGGAAGAAGAGAGGAAGAGGAGAAGGGGUGGCAGCUGCGGCAGUGGCAGCUGCAGUUGGAAGAGAAGUAGGAGAGGAAAUAGAGUAGCAGAGGAAGAAGAGGUUGCGGUUGUGGUGGCUGCGGCCAUGGCUGCGACUGCGACUGCGGCAGUUGCAGCUGGGAAAGAAAGGAAAGGAAAGGGGGAAAAAGGGGCUGCGGACGGGAUUGCGGUCGCAGCGGCAGCGACUGCGUAUGCAGCAAUUAUGUCUGCGAGAGAAGGGAGGAAGGAAGGUAGUGCGGUGGAAGGGGCUGCGAUUGUGGCAGCGGCAGCGGCGGCAGCUGUGGCAGCUGCGUUUGGGAAAGAAAAAGAAGGAAUGAGAGUAAGAGAGAGCAAGUGACUGUGCCUCGAUGUUCGACACGUGAUGUAGUUACGAAGAAAGGAAGAAAACGGGAGCACAAAACGAAACAGAGAGAGGGCACGGAGGAAAAGUAGAAAGAUUGGACUGGCACCUUCCUUGGAUAUUCAGAUCAAAAUAUUUGAAAGGUCAGCUUGUUACUCUUCGAGAUGUUUGAUUUGGGCUGAGGCAGUGGAUAGCUAUUCAGAAUGAUGGGCAAGUCUGGUUGGUUAUUACGAUAUUGUUGUAUAAGUAUGUUUUGUAUGUAAUGAAAUGUUGUCGAUGAACCGAAA